GCCUGGGUGGCUCAGUCGGUUAAGCGUCCGACUUCGGCUCAGAUCAUGAUCUCAUGGUCCGUGAGUUCGAGUCCCAUGUCGGGCU
rnacentral:tRNA from 1 species